CUUCACCGAGCCCAGCCACAGCGGCCCGUCGGCACGGUCCUGGCCGUAGGUGGCCAGCAGCGCCUGCGCCUC
rnacentral:antisense_RNA from 1 species